rnacentral:rRNA from 1 species
UGGGGGAUAUUGCACAAUGGGCGAAAGCCUGAUGCAGCGACGCCGCGUGGGGGAUGAAGGCCUUCGGGUUGUAAACUUCUUUUGCUCUGAACAAGGCAUGCUAAUGGGUGUGUUGAGUGUAGGGGUUGAUUAGCGCCGGCUAACUACGUGCCAGCAGCCGCGGUAAUACGUAGGGCGCGAGCGUUGUCGGGAAUUAUUGGGCGUAAAGGGCUUGUAGGUGGCUGGUUGCGUCUGUCGUGAAAGCUCAUGGCUUAACUGUGGGUUUGCGGUGGGUACGGGCUGGCUUGAGUGCAGUAGGGGAGGCUGGAAUUCCUGGUGUAGCGGUGGAAUGCGCAGAUAUCAGGAGGAAUACCGGUGGCGAAGGCGGGUCUCUGGGCUGUUACUGACACUGAGGAGCGAAAGCAUGGGGAGCGAACAGG